UUCCACAAUCUAAUUUUUUUUGGCAGAAAAUUAAGGUUUAUUAGUGAAGUUUUGGAAACAUCUUUGCAUCGCCGUAGGAUGUAAAGAAGAAUAUAUUUAGAAGAAAUGGAAGAAGAACAUCUAGCGGAAAUAAUCUCGGUCAAAAAAAAAUUCGAUUUGAACCCUAACAAUUUUUUUUUGAGCGGGAUGAAAAUCACACGAAAAUCAUUUUGGGCGGGGAUUAUUCCCGCUUGGUGUUUUGGAUUAGCUAUAAAGUUAAACCCUAAAAUCAACUAAGAGAUGUUAAAAGAUUUAUCUUUUGGGGGAUUAUCAGAGAUCAAAAACAGCGAGGUAUAUCUUUUUUAUGCUUAUCUACAGGAAAAAGAAAGUCCCACUGGUGAGAUAUAUAGGCCAGACGUGUUUUUGAAGACACAUAAAGUCACCCCAGAUGAUAAUACGUCAUCUUCUAAAUCAAUGGCAGCUGCAAAAUUAGCAUUGGUGAAGGAGGAAUAUGAUAAAGAUCCUUCAGCACAGAAGUGUUUGGGAACCGACGCUGUUACCAAGAUAUUUGGCACUGUUCGAAAGGGAUACAUACACUGAAUGGGUGCUGGUGUUUCUAAAUCUCAGUUUCUUCCUUCUGAAUUUAUGGAAGCCAGGUUGCAAGAAGAGAAGCACAAUGUGCGGAAAGAGAAUCAGAAAAACGAAGCUUUGAAAAACACAGUUGGAUGCUGAAAGACAGGAAAACAACACUGGAAUACAUGAUCAGAUCUCUAAUAGCUCUUGUCAGCAGAAUAUUGGGGUCCUAGCACCACCUUCAUCGUUUGGUCUAUGUUGUUUGAGGAACUUAAGGAAAAAGCCGGUCGCACUUGCAUAUGUUGACACUAAGCUGGCGAUUGAUGAUGAUCAUGACUGCAUGCUUGUGGAAAUCAUUGAGCCAAGUGCAAUGUUGUGCGGCAGAGAUGAUGUUGUACUUCGGGAUGUUCCCAUUGGUAAUUUAAUGAGGUGGCCAAAGGCCUAUGUGACUCUCUUAGGAGAGUGAUCAAGUUAGAGCGGCAGUGACAGUAGGAUUGAUUACUUUUUUGAUUUUCAGUAACUUGGAGUUGUUAGGAUGUCUUCCUAUUUAUAUUCGAAUAUUCUAUUUUCUUCUAAAAAAUAAUUAAUAAAGUCAAUUUGUUUAA